AAUCCCGUGAACCAUCGAGUCUUUGAACGCAAGUUGCGCCCGAAGCCUUCGGGCCGAGGGCACGCCUGCCUGGGCGUCACGCAUCGCNNCCCCCCCNCCCCCCGCUCCCNGGAGCGGGGGGUCGGAGACUGGCCUCCCGUGCGCUCCCGUCGCGCGGCCGGCCC
rnacentral:rRNA from 1 species